rnacentral:antisense_RNA from 2 species
UUUGAUCGAGCCCAGCCAGAGUGGGCGAUCGGCGGGGCGAUCCUGGCCGUAGGUGGCCAACAAUGCUUGCGCCUC